UUUUUUUUUCUAAUUUUAAUACAUGAACAUGAUAUUUCCAUAUCUGUAUCAAUUCAAUUUAGUUCUUUACCCACUCUACAGUUGUGAACCAGAUUUUCCUCCAUAAGAUUGUGACUCAUACAAUUAAAGAUCAUAUGGACAAUUCUCUACGCUCUAGUCUGAUUUAUUGGAGGAAUAUUGCAGAUCUCCAGAGGCAGAAACGCUAGGCAGUGUUCCACAAUCAUAGCUUGCAGCAUUAAAGACCUUAGAGAAGAGGAAUCCAUAGAAAAUUACAUCCCUUAAAAAUUUCAUCCACCACUGAGAACCAGCUUGCUGAACCCAACCUGACAAAUACGACCCAGUGAUGAGCCCAGCAACACGCCACCUCCUUUCUUUCACAUACCCAUCNNNNNNUGGCUCUGGCUACGUCCUCCUCAACAAGAACUUGUCUAUUCUUGAUAAAAGAAUUUCCUAUGUGCCUGCCCAAUACAAUUGCAUCCUCUAGAGCUGAACACCCACCUUGUCCUAGAUCAGGCGUCAUUGGGUGCAUAGCAUCACCUGCCACUGUGAUAUUUCCUUUGCUUGGAUUUCCAAAUAUGAGAUUCCAUGGAGUUCUCAACAUCAAUGGAGCCCAUGUCAAUGUUGAGAGAUCAGCAUGUCGGACUACGUCUAAGUAUUGUGAUGGAAAAUUCUUUGCAUACUUCUCAAUCACUUGUUUCUGUAUUAGUUCUGGGUCUCUUGCCAUGUUUUCUCCUUCAGGGCAAUAAGUUAAAAACCAGUAAAUUUCUUUGUGGUUUAAAGGGACGAAACCAGCCCUUUUGCCAACAUCCACAAAUUGCUCGACUUCUUGCUUCAUCCCAUGGCCUUGUGGAAAAAUUGCCAAUCCACGCACUGCUGCUCGACCUGAAUGAAUUGGAGCAGAGAGUCCUAGCCAUUUGGCCACCACAGAGUUCACCCCAUCACAACCGAUCAAAACCUUUGAUUUGAUAGUAGUUCCAUCUUCCAAAUGAAGUACACAAAUGGAAGAAUCUCCAAGUUCUUGCUUUUCAAUAGCCGUGAACUUUGAAGAAAAUCGAAUUGAAUCUUGAGGCAAUUCUUGUGCUAGAGCCUCUAAUAAAGCUUUGCGAUGAACUGAUCUGGGUCCCUGAUGAGCUUUGCUUCCGUUUCCAGAGAAGAAGAUUUCUUGAACAGCUCCAGUAGCUACUCUGGUUACAGACCCCCUUAUGGUAGGAGUAUAAAGGGGAGUAAGUUUAUGAGAAACGCCAAGAGCAUCA
rnacentral:misc_RNA from 1 species